rnacentral:rRNA from 1 species
CAAUAGCGUAUAUUAAAGUUGUUGCAGUUAAAAAGCUCGUAGUCUGAACCUUGGCUGGUGUUGAGCGUCCGUGACUUCUGUUACGCGCAUGCGAUACUCCGGCCAUGUACUUCGGAGGAGUGCUUGUGCUUUUCAUUAAGUGCGGGUACAAUUCCGAUAGUUUACUUUGAGAAAAAUAGAGUGUUCAAAGCAGGCGUUUGCCUUGAAUACAUUAGCAUGGGAUAAUGAAAUAGGACAUUGGUUCUAUUUUGAUGGUUUAAGGACCGAUGUAAUGAUUAAUAGGGACAGUUGGGGACAUUCAUAUUCCAUGGCUAGAGGUGAAAUUCUUGGAUUCAUGGAAGAUGAACUACUGCGAAAGCAUUUGUCAAAGAUGUUUUCAUUGA